GAUGCCCUGAUGCUCCACCGGGGGAGCCCGGCCAACCCAAAAUGGCCCGCCGCACGCGGCGAAGGCGGGCGGGGGCUCUGAGGGUGGGGGAGAUGCAGCCAAGAGCGCAAUGGAAGCUGAAGCGGUAGCCCGGAUUUCAGCGGGAAACCGAGUCCCGGUGUAGAAGAGGGAGGGGACCCUGCGCGCCACCUGGGAACAAAAGAUGCGGCAAGGUGAAAAUGGCUGAAGAAUCCUGAAUUACUCUAGCAUCUCUUCACCCAGUGGCUCUACAAGACAACCAAUUAUAAGACAGAUGAAGUUUUCUUUAAUAUCUUUGAACCUCAGUUCUCUCAUCUAUGGAAUUAAGGAGCAAAAGAGCAGCCAGAGGUAGCCUCAAGGAGGCAGGAUGAUAAUUGAGGAGAGGUCUCCAUAUUCCCGCAUAGAAGUUUUCCAGGCUGUGCAGAGGCUAUGAGGGGGCAGGAAACUGCUUUCUUCUUGCACAGUGAGACGAUCCACUCUUUAAACCUUUCAGUUACAUGUGUAUUCACUUAACGCCUGUGAAAUGUGCAAGAGUUACUCCCAUUCCUCCUCCUUAUUAACCCCACUCUCUCUUUUGUCCCCGUGUACUAGGAGAUUCCAUCUAUGGGGUCGCAAAGAGUCGGACAGGACUGAAACGACUUAGCAGCAGCAGCAGCAGCAGGAGAUUUCUACCAUUUCUUGAAAUAAUUGCCAGGGUUAUGCCAGAUAUAUAGAUCAAUUAAGUCAAAUGAUGCCUCUGAAAACAAAUGGUAAGAAGAUAGUGUCAGCAGAUUUGAGCAUGAAAGCCUCACUUUUAGGUUGCUGGGGGAUUUUUUUGUGGUUUUUUUUUUUACCAUCACCAGACACUUGAUGAUGACAAUACCAUCCUUCAUAUGACUCCAUGUGCCAAAAAAUGUAGUUAAGAAUGUGCAUGCAUGCAUGUUAAGUCUCUUCAGUCUUGUCUGACUCUUUGUGACCCUAUGGACCGGAGCCCACCAGGCUCCUCUGUCCAUGGGAUUUUCCAGGCAAAAAUACCAAAGUGGGUUGCCAUGCCCUCCUCCAGGGCAUCUUCCCCAGCCAGGGAUCAAACCCGCAUCUCUUACCACUGGCGCCACUUGGAAAGUCCAAUUAAGAAUGUUGGUGCUCUGCUAGAAAAUGGCAAAUUAUAAUUGACCAUUCAUGUAAUUAGAAAAGGCAACCAAGAGGUUGAGAAUAGAUUUUGUGAUCAAAGAAACUUUGGGUGCUGAAAAUACCAUGGAGAUUAAGCCUCUGUUUACCUUCUGUUUAUUAAGGAUUAUGUUACCUUCUCUUCUUUACCAUUUAAGACAUGGGAAGCUGGGAGGGGACAUUCUCUUUCAGGCUACAUGUUUAACUUGCUUGUUCAGUUCCUCCUUAACAUUAGCAGGAUGAGAAAUUGUGUAUACACAUAAAACCUCGCAAAAAGAACAUCAUUCUCUUUUCUUUCUCAUACCAUCUCCACUCUCACCAAACUUUUCUGAGAUGAGCUAAAGUGAUUAAUGUAUUUCAUUUUGUAAAUGUACUUCUGGAAUUGUCCCUGGCACCCAGGAUUAUCCAAGGUAAAUAAGCAUCUCUUACAGCUUUUCUCUUAAUAAAGUGAAAAGUAAGUAUAGUUUAGAAGAAUUUCUGAAAUAAGAUUAUUGGGAUUUAUAAGGAACUUUCAUAAAAGAAUUUGACCUACUUAAAAGAAGUGGGACAGAAGUUUUCGGCACCUUUGUUGGUUCAAUUAACACUAGCUUCUAGAAUGGUGCAUUACAGAAGCCCUGGCACCUUUAGAAUGUCGAUCCAAACGCUGUGAUAACCACAGAAACAUUAGGAAGACCUCAGCAUUCAUUUGUAUUGUGACUACAACACGGUGUCCAGGCUUAAUGAACUUCUACCUUCUGAAUGGCUUAAUCUGAUGUUGCUGUUUUCAGACCACUGAAUCAACAACAAUACAAAGGUGAUUUUACACUGGUUACUCACACCUAAGGUCAUCACACUGGUGCCCUAGAUAGGUUAUUAAUUGUUUCCAUUUACAGCAUACUCCAGAAAACAGUUCCAGAUAGAGGGCCAACACUUGCAGCCAGGGAGUAGGUCACAGUGACUAGAGUCCAGGAAAACAGUUGAGUCACUGUGGGUGGAAGAGAUAAAACCUGCACUAGGACAGGAGUUAUGCUUCCCAUGAGCACCCAACCUUAUAACAAAUAUCAAAACUAAGGACAAAAAGUUAGGGUAGGAACCCUCAGAAGGCUGACAAGGUUGUACGUUCAUACAACCACUUCAAGAAUCUAUUUGGAAUUAUCUGCUAUACCUGAAAUUUUACACCAAGAGGCAUACAAAAAUGCUUAUGGUGGUGUUAUUUGUAACACCUCCCCCAAAUGGAAAGAACUCAAAGGUUCACAACAGAAGAAUGAGUUUUUUUAGUGUGACAUACAGUGUCUCCUACAUCCGAACCUUCAAGUUGCAAACUUGCAAAGAGGCGAACAUUCAUUUGCAUGUCCAGUCAUGUAAGUUAGUUCACGCAUCUGGUGUCCAUUGUCACAUGUGUGCCUCCUCUACAAGAGAUUCUGCUUUUGUGUACUUUACUGUACAGUACUGUACAGCACAUUGGAGUACUGGAUCUUUAUUUCAAGCCCAGGAUGUCUGGAAGCAAGAAGGUAGAUAGAACUAAAUCCAGCAAGGAACCAGAUACUGCGCCAUCGAUGUCAGUCAUGAGUAAAAUUACAGCUUGCCCUCCAUCUCCUAUUGCUGACAGUCCUUCAGCUCUACCAUUUCCCACCCCUCCUCCGGUCAGUUACUCUUCUUGCCUGUUCACUUGAUGCCAGCCCCUAUAUGCCGGCUGUCGUACUCUACUACUGUACUUAUCAAGAUACUGUCAGAUUUAAAAUGUUGUCUUUAUUUUUUGUGUUUGUUUUUUAUGUAUUACUUGUGUGAAAGCAUUAUAAACAUAUUAUAGUAUAGUACUGCAUAGCCGAUUGUGUUACUUGGGUACCUAGGCUAACUGUGGACUUUAGAACAAAUUGGACUUACAUUUUUACAUAGGGGACUUGCUGUAUUCAUCCAGUGGAAUGGUAUUCAGCAGUGAAAAUGAAAGAACUAUGGCUACUUGCAACCACUUGGAUGAAUCGCAUAAAGUGGCUAAGACUCUGCACUGCCACUGCUGAGCGACUAGGUUCAGUCUCUGGUCAGGGAACUAAGAUCCCACAAGCCACCUGGCAUAGCCAAAAAAAAUUCAAAAAUAGGUAAAACUCACCUAAGGAGGAGCUAUUGGGAAGGGAAUAAGGGGGCUUCAGAGCACUGGGAAAGCUUUCUGUCUGAAUGAUUACAUGAGAGAUUUCAUGUUGGUGAUAUUUCACCAAGCUGUACACAUAGAGUCUGUGUAUUCUUCUCUCUUUAAUGUUAGGCUUUAGUUGGGAAUGUUUCUUAGUGAAAGAACUAUGAAAUAUCUUGUCUCCAGAAAAAAAAUUGUGAGUGGGUCAAUAAAAUUCUACAUGUA